rnacentral:rRNA from 1 species
GACGAACGCUGGCGGCGUGCCUAACACAUGCAAGUCGAGCGGGGACAUAAUAAGUAGUAAUACGAAUUAUGUUCUAGCGGCGGACGGGUGAGUAACGCGUGAGCAAUCUGUCUCUUACAGGGGGAUAACGCAUCGAAAGAUGUGCUAAUACCGCAUAAGACCACGACAAGGACAUCUUGAUGAGGUCAAAGGAGCAAUUCGGUAAGAGGUGAGCUCGCGUCUGAUUAGCUAGUUGGUGGGGUAACGGCUCACCAAGGCAACGAUCAGUAGCCGACCUGAGAGGGUGAUCGGCCACACUGGAACUGAGACACCGUCCAGACUUCUACGGGAGGCAGCAGUGGGGAAUAUUGGGCAAUGGGGGAAACCCUGACCCAGCAACGCCGCGUGAAGGAAGAAGGUUUUCGGAUCGUAAACUUCUAUCCUAGGUGAAGAUAAUGACGGUAGCCUAGAAGGAAGCCCCGGCUAACUACGUGCCAGCAGCCGCGGUAAUACGUAGGGGGCAAGCGUUGUCCGGAAUGAUUGGGCGUAAAGGGCGCGUAGGCGGCCAACUAAGUCUGAAGUGAAAGUCCUGCUUUUAAGGUGGGAAUUGCUUUGGAAACUGGAUGGCUUGAGUGCAGGAGAGGUUAGUGGAAUUCCCGGUGUAGCGGUGAAAUGCGUAGAGAUCGGGAGGAACACCAGUGGCGAAGGCGACUAACUGGACUGUAACUGACGCUGACGGCGCGAAAGUGUGGGGAGCAAACAGGAUUAGAUACCCUGGUAGUCCACACUGUAAACGAUGAAUGCUAGGUGUAGGGGGUAUCGACCCCUUCUGUGCCGGAGUAAACACAAUAAGCAUUCCGCCUGGGGAGUACGGCCGCAAGGUUG